UCUGAUGUUUUUCUGAUUAAUUCUUCUGUUGGAAUCUUCUAGAUUGCCCAGCAUUACAGCAAACCCAGAGUCACGCCGGUGGAGGUUCUGCCCGUCUUCCCAGACUUCAAGAUGUGGAUUAAUCCGUGUGCUCAAGUCAUCUUCGAUUCUGAUCCGGCGCCUAAAGAUGUUUCUGCACCGGCGGGGGUGGACAUGAUGUCACAGGCCAUGAUCAGGGGUAUGAUGGACGAGGAAGGAAAUCAGUUUGUGGCGUACUUCCUGCCUAAUGAGGACACGAUGCGCAAACGCAAGAGAGACGUGGACGAGGAUUUGGAGUACAU